AUGACUUAUUACUGUUCAGGUGACCCUGGGGGCACGGCAGGGGUUCAAGUCAUGACCAUUAUAUAUUAUUUAUGGCGCACCCAUAAUAGGAAAUAUUAUCCGGCUGCAGAAAACCUGUUCUCAAAGACCAUUUUAAGAAAUGGGACCAUGUUUAUUGCACAGUGGUACGUCAAAAUAAACACCCGCUGCAGGGCUCUCUGCAAUACGGCUUCGACUGCGUGCGAUUCAGACUUAACAGACCCAGGAAGCCUGCACGAGACCGGAAGGGAGGCCUCCGCCGCCACCCUGGAAUGGGGUCACGGCCGACACACCUGCCCGCGUCCUUGUCAAGAGCACAGAGCACGUACACAUCAGGACGCACAGCUGCCCUGCAGGAAGCCCCUCAGCCCCGAUCCUGACGGCGACAGCUGCCCGGACCCUCACUGAGCCAGCGGAGGCCCCGCCCCCCAGAAACCCUGUCACUGCCCAAGGAACAGAGCGCAGAACCAGGAACCUCAACGGGAGUGGGGCUCAGGCCCUGUUCCCACGGAUCCGAGGUGUGAGCCCCCACCCCAGCCAGGGCACCCGGGAGAGCAGCUGUGUCCCCCACUGCCGCCUCGAGCCUCUGCUUGGCCCUGCACCCCCAGGAGACCCGCGUGCCCGUGCGUGGGCCCCGUGGGGCUGGGAGGGUCUGUCCCCGGGCAGGGUCCCCGUCAGAGCAGGCUCCUGGGGGACAGGCUUCGGGUGUGUAUCAGCAGUUUCAGGCCUGGGUCUUUCCCAAAUAUGUCCCAAGAGGGAGACAGCCCACCCACCCCGUGCCACCCAGGCCCCUGAGGCCGACCGAGCUGAGCCUGCUGCCCAGACGGAGCAGGGGCACUGCGGACCCCCAGCGGGUUCUGAAGGUGGUCUUUGGCCACUUAGUACCUCACAGGGCACAGUGUGCCCCCGUGCCUGUUCCCCCUUCUCCCCGUAGGAAAACUUCAUUGAAAGCACCAGGAGGAAGCUGUUCACUUUGCAGAGAAACCGGACACGCCCUAACCUGGCAGCUGCUCAGCCCCGCACAGAGUCAGUCAACAAACGUGUGCGAUGGGGCUCACUGCCUCGGUGCCGGCACUGAGGUGACAGCGGCAACCAGGAACAGAGGCAGCCCAGGCUCUCGUGGCUGGACCCCGCACCCCGGUCCUCUCUGGGGCUCUGUCGCUUCUCCCCACUCAGAGCUGGCCGUGGCAGGGCUGCCGCGCAGGAAGGUGCCUCCCCUGGGUUCCAGCGCAGAGCGUGGCUAGUGCAGCCCUCGGCGCGCCACGGGUCAGAGAGUAGGGGACAGAGGCUGCGAGCAGGGGCCAUUUUGGUGCCCAUGCGACAGACCUCAAUCCUGGGUUUGAGACCAAGAGAGGGACACACUCGUCUGUCACCACCGCCGACGACACCUGUGGCCCCAGUCACGCCCCUUCUCAGGACCCCACUUUCGCCACCUGCAAAGUGCAAGGGCUGUGCUGGACAGACGGACACUCGGCCGCUUCCUGCCCAGUCCCUCUGGGAGUCAGACGGGCGGGUGGAGGCAGGGCUGCCCUCCAGAAGUUCAAGGAGAAACACUCCAGGAGUCAGCCGCCGAGAACUGAGCCCAGGCGGAAUCCCUCCUAAUCCCUCCAUGAAGAUGAGUGGCUCCCUGCCUCCCAGGCGGCACCAGCCUGUCCCAUCCAUCAGCCAGGCUGUGCCACACCGCUAAGACCCGGCACUAACUCACCGGGGGUCUUAGGGCCGCUGCUCCCGGCAAUGAUCCAUCAUACGGCCGCCUGUGCUAGAACCCCUCACUGCUGCCCCAACCCUGGCUCCCGCCCUGGCGCGCGGAGUGGCUGAGCACAGAGCCAGGCCCCCAGGGUCCCCUUGGAGCCGGACUCCUGCACUUCCUGUGGACGCUGGCCCUACACAGAGCUGGGCGUGACAGGGGGACACCUGUCUACCCACGAGGCAGUCUGGAAGCUCGCUAGGCUGGAGCCGAGGGUACGGGAGAGGAUCCCGGAAGGCUGAGAGGCAGAGUGCGCCAUCGCAGGCCUGCGUGCUCCAGUUGUCCUCACUGUCACAGAACGCGUGACACAGGCCCCUGUGGAGAAGAGACUUGUUCAGCACACGCCUUGGGGGCCCAGGGUGUGGCCCUGACACCCGCUCUGUCCUGCGGGGCCCUCUGCCCCGACUGCAUGACAUCCUGGCAGACGGCAGAGGUGGGACAAGGUCCUGGGCGAAUGGUCACAUCUGGGACCAGGAGCAGAGAGCCCGGGGCCCGGGUGACCUGAGGGCCUCCCAGGACCCCGCAUCCUAAGGGGUCCACGGCUCUUCCCAGUGCCACCUCCGUGGGGACCGCGCCUCAGCUCACAAUGGCCUUGAGGGACACUCAGUCCCCCCACCCCACCCCCGUAGAUCCAGCAGCCCACGAGGCCAUUGGGAGGCGGGGAGAAAACCCCGGAAGCUUCUUAGCUCAGCCUGGGAGGCAGCGCUGCAGGGACCACGUGAGCUGGAGGGAGCAGCCCUGGUCUGCUGAGUGCCGGGCAGGGAGACGGAGACAGAGCCUCCCGGGCGCUGGCCUAGGAGAGGUUGUCGCCUGCCGGGAGGGAGCCGGUGGGAGCGAAACAGCAAAGGCACCGUCUGAGCACCGCUGAGCUGAGAAAGAAACGUGCGGGGUGGAGCGGCCCCUGGGGAGCGGCGCCUUGGCCCUGACUCCGAGAUGCUGGGGAGAACCAGGGAGAACGGACAGGAGGGAGGGAGGAGGCCAACCCCGGGCCAUCUGGGGGGGAGCCAGUGGUGGGAGCAUUCUCUCUCUCUCUCUCUCUGUCUCUCUUUCUCUGUCUCUCAUAAAAUAAAUUAGUGAAUAAAUAAAUGUUGUUAAAGAUG
ensembl:lncRNA